rnacentral:lncRNA from 1 species
GCUGAUGUCACCAGGAUUUCUCUGGAGAGGAAUGGGACGUUUGUUACAGACCUUUCGAACAAUGAGAUAAAGCAGUUGGUAUUUUUUGUGGCUCCUGCCACACUUAUUUAUUUAUUUAGCACUGGGCUUCAACUGAGAAGUGGAAGACUUUAAUACUCCCAUCUGAUAUAAAAGAUGAAGGCAAGCUAAGAACAUACCCAUAACAGGAAUGCAAGAAUUCCUGUACAUUUUGCCACAGGGAAAUUAGUUUGCUACAGGGAUAUAAAGCUCUUGAACCAAAUCAAAGAUAAAACUCUGCUAAGAAUCGUCUCCAUGCAACAGAAUAUUUCAAAAGCUGUAAAUAAACAAUACAAAGCAGUAACACUCGCUGUGCACAAAGAUUCCAACUUCUCACAAAAAUACAGCUUUUUAUUUCGAUGAAAAAUAACAAGACGUUUUCACACGAAUAUUAUAUUUAAAAGUCCUUUCUCCUAGCUGUUUGCAUUCAGUGAGACUCUGCCCUUUGCAUGCAUUUGGCUGAGAUUCCUCUGCCAACAAACGGCAAUCCCCUGCAUGAAGCACUGCACUGAGAGCCAUCAGAGUCAUGGGCCUGAGUGCAGACACACAGAGAAGGAAAAAGGAGGAGGAGGACAAGAAGAAAUCCUCAUGGCAUUCAAAACCUUUGCUUUCAAAUGGUGCAAAGAGAUUUGGAAGGAAAAAAAAACCUUGGGCUGACUGCAGUGCUGCUUUUUCGAGGGGAUCGUGAUCCGCAGAAAAGAUGCAGCCGUUCUGCACAGAGCUCUGGGAGUCCUUUCAUCUGAUUCCUGCUACAGGCACCUGCUGCUGCUUGCGGAUCUUGUUGAACAGCUCCAUGUACUGAACCAUUGUGUCCGCGGGGCUGUAGAUGCUGUCGUGCUUGGUGCCAAACACAGACGGGAUGCCGGGAGUGUGGCUGCCCAUGAAGCUCUGCAUGAACUCCAUCAGCAGGUUCCAGCAGUCAUUGGCUAUCACACAGGGGCAGUACUCCACCUUGGCUGCUGAUGGCGGCGGCCGUGUGGUACGUCUCGCAGUCCACGCCGAACGCGCCGUGCUUCUCGGCGCCCAGCAGCUCCAGCUUCUUGCUCAGCAGCUCCACCGUCUGCUGCACGCUCUUCCCCUCCAAUACAGGCACCUGCGUCACGCAGGUGACCCCCAUCGCUCCGUCCGUUCCCGCCCG